CAGCAGUCGCCACGGUAAUACGAAGGGGGCUAGCGUUGUUCGGAUUUACUGGGCGUAAAGGGCGCGUAGGCGGAUUUGUAAGUCAGGGGUGAAAUCCCGAGGCUCAACCUCGGAACUGCCUUUGAUACUGUGGAUCUUGAGUCCGGGAGAGGUGAGUGGAACUGCGAGUGUAGAGGUGAAAUUCGUAGAUAUUCGCAAGAACACCAGUGGCGAAGGCGGCUCACUGGCCCGGAACUGACGCUGAGGCGCGAAAGCGUGGGGAGCAAACAGGAUUAGAUACCCCUGUAGUCCCUGUCUCUUAUAC
rnacentral:rRNA from 1 species